UACGGGGGGGGCAAGCGUUGUUCGGAAUUACUGGGCGUAAAGGGCUCGUAGGUGGCCAACUAAGUCAGACGUGAAAUCCCUCGGCUUAACCGGGGAACUGCGUCUGAUACUGGAUGGCUUGAGUUUGGGAGAGGGACGCGGAAUUCCAGGUGUAGCGGUGAAAUGCGUAGAUAUCUGGAGGAACACCGGUGGCGAAGGCGGGUCUCUGGGCAGUAACUGACGCUGAGGAGCGAAAGCGUGGGGAGCGAACAGG
rnacentral:rRNA from 1 species